rnacentral:lncRNA from 1 species
CCGCCCGUGGGCGUGGGAAGACGCGUGUCGAGGGGCUCCGGCAGCCGCGUUGGAACCUUAAACCCCGGCCGUAGCUUGCCGCGACUUCAACCCGAUUUUAAAAGAAUUCCCAAUAACGAGAAGCAGGGUCUUAAUAGCAGGCUAGGCUCUUGGCAGGCUGUUGGGACUGUGGUGGUAUCAGACUGUCAGCAAAACCUGGAGAAUGACAAACCCAUAAUUUAACAUUCAGCGAAAGGAGUUACUGUGAUUAGUUUUCGUCCCUCAAACACUUCAUCUUAAGCUGGGGUUGUAUUGUGAGGUGAAUCGGUGACCUUUGAACAGAUCUUCGGCUGCUAAAGAAAUACCUAAAAUUACAGACUCGAAAUUCAGUUUGUAGUAUUUCACUGUUGGAGCUUGUGGAGUUAGCGCAGCUGUAUGAGGAGCUCUGUAGUGGUGGAACAGUUUUUUCUGCGGCAGCCUUGCUUACAUAAGGCCAAAGCUUUUAGGCUUGUUUUCAAACUUGGAACCUACCUAUGUCAGGAAAGCAUGUGAGCAGUCCUGCAGGCCACCUUGUAUGUUUAAGGUCUAUAUGCUGAAAUGAUUUGCUGACCAGUGAUGCAAGAAAAUUGUCUGAACUCUGGAAAGAUUGAAUAAUAGUGUUAGAUGAGUUACAGUUAACAGUAAGUAUUAUCCUACUUGUAAUGGUGUUACAUGGGUAUGUGGGAGGAAAGAAGGAUGCUCUUAGUCGAGAGCUAGUCAAGUGCUAUAAAUCCGGUACUAUUGCUGUUUUACUUUAACUACUUAUAUAAAUAACUUUUGGUAAGUUCAAAUCUUGUGUUAUAUGGAAUUUUAAACUGAAAUGGAUAUGCUAACAGUAGGCUUAAAACGU